rnacentral:rRNA from 1 species
UACGAAGGGGGCUAGCGUUGUUCGGAUUUACUGGGCGUAAAGGGCGCGUAGGCGGCUUGACAAGUCACUUGUGAAAUCUCCGGGCUUAACUCGGAACGGCCAAGUGAAACUGUCAUGCUAGAGUGCAGAAGGGGCAAUCGGAAUUCCAGGUGUAGCGGUGAAAUGCGUAGAUAUCUGGAAGAACACCGGUGGCGCAAGCGGAUUGCUGGGCCAUAACUGACACUGAGGAACGAAAGCCAGGGGAGCAAACGGG